rnacentral:rRNA from 1 species
AUCCCUCCCCGUCGCUCUAAUCUCCUCACGAUGGCGAGUGGCGGACGGGUGAGGAAUACAUCGGAAUCUACUUUUUCGUGGGGGAUAACGUAGGGAAACUUACGCUAAUACCGCAUACGACCUACGGGUGAAAGCAGGGGACCUUCGGGCCUUGCGCGAUUGAAUGAGCCGAUGUCGGAUUAGCUAGUUGGCGGGGUAAAGGCCCACCAAGGCGACGAUCCGUAGCUGGUCUGAGAGGAUGAUCAGCCACACUGGAACUGAGACACGGUCCAGACUCCUACGGGAGGCAGCAGUGGGGAAUAUUGGACAAUGGGCGCAAGCCUGAUCCAGCCAUACCGCGUGGGUGAAGAAGGCCUUCGGGUUGUAAAGCCCUUUUGUUGGGAAAGAAAUCCAGCUGGCUAAUACCCGGUUGGGAUGACGGUACCCAAAGAAUAAGCACCGGCUAACUUCGUGCCAGCAGCCGCGGUAAUACGAAGGGUGCAAGCGUUACUCGGAAUUACUGGGCGUAAAGCGUGCGUAGGUGGUCGUUUAAGUCCGUUGUGAAAGCCCUGGGCUCAACCUGGGAACUGCAGUGGAUACUGGGCGACUAGAAUGUGGUAGAGGGUAGCGGAAUUCCUGGUGUAGCAGUGAAAUGCGUAGAGAUCAGGAGGAACAUCCAUGGCGAAGGCAGCUACCUGGACCAACAUUGACACUGAGGCACGAAGCGUGGGGAGCAAACAGGAUUAGAUACCCUGUAGUCCACGCCCUAACGAUGCGACUGGAUGUUGGGUGCAAUUUGGCACGCAGUAUCGAAGCUAACGCGUUAAGUUCGCCGCCUGGGGAGUACGGUCGCAGGACUGAAACUCCAAGGAAUUGACGGGGGCCCCGCCACAGCGGCGGAGUAUGGUGGUUAUUCGAUGCUAACGCCGAGACCUUACCUGCCUUGACUGUCGAGAACUUCAGAGAUGGAUUGUUGCCUUUCGGGACUUGGAACAGGUGCUGCAUG